AUACGUAGGUGGCGAGCGUUGUCCGGAAUUAUUGGGCGUAAAGGGCGCGUAGGCGGCGUCUUAAGUCAGAUGUGAAACCCCGAGGCUUAACCUCGGGCAUGCAUUUGAAACUGGGACGCUAGAGUGCAGGAGAGGAAAGUGGAAUUCCUAGUGUAGCGGUGAAAUGCGUAGAUAUGACAUGGAACACCAAUUGCGUAGGCAGCUUACUACACGAUCAUUGACGCUGAGGCACGAAAGCGUGGGGAGC
rnacentral:rRNA from 1 species